UUUCUGGACUACUUAAGACAAUGCAAGAUCUGAUAUUCCUUAAAAAUAAGAAGCAUUAGUGAUGUAAAUCACUCUUCUCAAAUCAGAUAAAGUAGAAGCCCGGCGACCUUAACUUAUUUGAAAUUAACUUAUUUACUUGAAAUCGUUAUUUUUCUUUCUAAAAUUAAAAACACGGUUUUUAAAUUGAGCGAAGAAUUUUUAUUUACAUGUGAAUAAAAGAGUGGAGUUAGAAUUUUCCUUUUUAAAACGUUGAUCAAAAGAUACUGGGGCCAAAUAUCUGAAGAAAAACUUCCUGUUGUGUCUUUCUUCUAAUUAAAGUUUUCCUGGAUUUCUUAAAGAAAGUAAUAGUGAGUGGAAUUGACCUUUCUGCUUCAUACAGGGCGCAGAUACACAACUAGGUAUGACUGAGGAAUAUAUUAAAAAACGACCAAAUCCUGGCUGGGAAAUAGAAAUGGAAUUGACAAGGAAAGCUAUCAGGACUGAGAAUAAUCUAUCUCCAAAACCUCGUUUUUUUGUUGUUUGUGGUGAUCUUAUUCAUGCAAUGCCAGGUUCCUGUUUUGACUGCAGAACAAGAGUCUUGGUUAGAAACACAGAAGAUGCAGAAAAUGGGAAUUAUAAACAUGUAAUCAUAUUUUAACAUAUUCCAUGGUUUUUGGAAAAAUCCUGAUGAAUCAAAAAUUUAUUUUAAUCUUCUUCCUGUUAUUCGUCAAAAGUGGCUUCCCAAAUUUCGAGAUGCCAAUGAUUCGAAAUUAUACUCGCAAAACAAAUGGAUUUAAAUGUUACAAAAAAAUGCCACCUGAGAUGGAAAAAGCUAUCCAAAGUAUAAAAGACGAACAAAUAACAAUUCAAGAUGCCCCAGCCGAAUUGAAAAUAACGAGAAAAACUCUUUCAAAAUAUUGUCACCGGGAACCAGAAGAGCAUAAAAACACUGGCGGGCAGACGAUUUUUACUGAGGAAGAAGAGGAUAUGUUCGCAGCUCAUUUGAUAAUUUUGUCAGAUAAUGGCUUUCCAGUGUCUAUUGACGACUUUCGCUAUAUAGUGCAAGGUUAUUCAAAAUCGCACAGUCCUAAAAUUCAAAAAAAAUUUGCCUGGAGAAGAUUGGGUGCAUAGAUUUUUAAGCAGACAUAAAAAAGUGUCUCAGAGAUUCGCCUGUAACAUAUCUAGAGCCCGGGCUUCUGUAUCAGUUGAGGAUUAUGAAAAAUAUUUUGAAAACUUGGGUACUCAGCUUGAAGGAGUCCCACCAGAAAAUAUCUGGAACUACGACGAAACAAACAUUUCUGACGAUCCUGGGAGAAAGAAAAUUUUAUGUU